rnacentral:rRNA from 1 species
AGAGUUUGAUUCUGGCUCAGGACGAACGCUGGCGGCGUGCUUAACACAUGCAAGUCGAGCGGAGAAUAUAGCAAUAUAUUCUUAGCGGCGGACGGGUGAGUAACGCGUGGGUAACCUGCCUUUUACAGGGGGAUAACACUGGGAAACUAGUGCUAAUACCGCAUAAAAUAGUGAAGUGGCAUCACUUUACUAUCAAAGGAGCAAUCCGGUAAAAGAUGGACCCGCGUCCGAUUAGCUAGUUGGAGGGGUAACGGCCCACCAAGGCGACGAUCGGUAGCCGAACUGAGAGGUUGAUCGGCCACAUUGGGACUGAGACACGGCCCAGACUCCUACGGGAGGCAGCAGUGGGGAAUAUUGCGCCAAUGGGGGAAACCCUGACGCAGCAACGCCGCGUGAAGGAUGAAGGUUUUCGGAUUGUAAACUUCUUUGAUUGGGGACGAUAAUGACGGUACCCAAAAAACAAGCCACGGCUAACUACGUGCCAGCCGCCGC